rnacentral:rRNA from 1 species
GACUCACGCGGGAAUCUUACCGGGUCCGGACACACUGAGGAUUGACAGGUUUCGAGAGUUUUUUUGGAGUUCGCUCCAGAAUGCUCUCUUAAAUAUGCUAGUCCUUUCAUGAUUAUGUGAUAGGUGGUGCAUGGCCGUUCUUAGUUCGUGGAGUGAUCUGUCUGCUUAAUUGCGUUUCACUAAAGGCGUCAUUAUAUUUUUGUGCUUGUGUUUGACCCCUCUUUCUUCGGAUUGAGCGCGUGUCUUUCACACACAAUUACUUUGACGUCUGAAAGCAACGAACGUGACCGUAACCUCUUGUUGCCUUCUCUUCUCUUCGGAGAAUGCUAGUUUUUUUCUUCGGAUAAAUUCUAGUAUAUGGAGGCUUUUACUCAAACUAGAGGGACCGCUGUUACUUUCUUUAAACCAGAGGAAGGUUGCGGCAAUAACAGGUCUGUGAUGCC